UUACGGCCAUAUCACGUUGAAACAGCGGUUUCCGUACGAUUACCGAAGUUAAGCAACAUCGAGCUUCGUCAGUACCUAUAUGGGUGAACGCGUGGGAAUACCAGGG